AACGAACGCUGGCGGCAGGCUUAACACAUGCAAGUCGAACGGGUGCAGCAAUGCAUCAGUGGCAGACGGGUGAGUAACACGUGGGAACCUUCCUAGGGGGUACGGAACAACUCAGGGAAACUUGAGCUAAUACCGUAUACGCCCCCGGACUUGAUCCGGGGGGAAAGAUUCAUCGCCCCUAGACGGGCCCGCGUCGGAUUAGGUAGUUGGUGGGGUAACGGCCUACCAAGCCUGCGAUCCGUAGCUGANCUGAGAGGAUGAUCAGCCACACUGGGACUGAGACACGGCCCAGACUCCUACGGGAGGCAGCAGUGGGGAAUCUUGGACAAUGGGCGCAAGCCUGAUCCAGCCAUGCCGCGUGAGUGAAGAAGGCCUUAGGUUGUAAAGCUCUUUUACCAGGACGAUAAUGACGGUACCUGGAGAAUAAGCCCCGGCAAACUUCGUGCCAGCAGCCGCCGC
rnacentral:rRNA from 1 species